rnacentral:lncRNA from 1 species
AGGGGUUGGAAGCUAGGGUUUCAGAGGCUGUAUUUUUGGUGGACGGACAAAAUCGUGUGUCCACGGCAGAGAAUAAAAGCCACGUGGAGAUCAUCCCAGGAUUUGUUCAAAGCUCUCCCAUGGCCCCUGGGGCCCUGCCACUGGGCAGAGUGGCCCAGGAGGCUUUUUAGAUCUCUAGGGUGUUACAACUUUGCUGUGGCCUUGGCAGUGAUGGAGGAGGGACACUGGGAACACGUUAGAAGACAGGGACAGGGGGAUUGAGUGACUUCAGCACGGAGGCAGGAGAGCAACUCUGACCGCUGGCGCUGGCCCAAGCAGAGCAGAAUGAACGCCACGAGCAGCAGUUGAAGGAAGAAUGUGGCUACGGAGCAAAACAUGGAAGACAGAGGCACCUUGCAACGAUUCCUCUAUUUGGGAUUCCAGGCCUGUGUCCCCUUCUUCCUGAGGCCAUGCAGACACAAAUGAUUAGUUUAGAAGACAUUUGCAUCUUUGACAGGACCUUGUUUUCGUUAAAUAAAGCUAUUGUUAGAGUUACAG